UAGGUAAGCAUUAGGUACUCUUCCAUGGA
rnacentral:sRNA from 1 species